rfam:Erwinia tracheiphila strain BuffGH Etrach_4, whole genome shotgun sequence.
AGCAGGGAGUGACUAAACCAAAAAAGAGUGAGCCGGCGGCGCAGGGAUCGCAGUCGGCUGGC